GUCAAGUUCACCUCCUUCUCUAGGAGAGACGAAAGUUUGAGCGGUAUACAAGUUUAAGAGGCUGCUUAGCAGAGACUUAGCCAGAGUUGGAGAGUCCUGGAAGAAGUCAGAGGCAGAAUCAAGCAGUCAAGGAGGCAGAGUUGGUGCUGAGUGCUGCACAGAGCUGUGAUUCAGUAGAAGAUGAAUCAGUGUGGUUCAGAGUCUGAAGUCACAAGCAAUAGCUGAAAAUCACUACAAAGAGGGGAGACUCUCUGAAGGCUGCUAAUCACAGAACUACCAGUCUGGAUUUAACUCCAGGCUGGUAGAAGUGACUAAGACCUGAAACUGCAGAAGGAACAGGAUUAGACAGAUUCACGGAGAAGAAUGAGUCUAGUAACAGAAGCCAGCCACUACAACAAAAUGGAGCGUACAUGUCCAGAGACAGUAUACCUUUGAAAACUGGAUUCUGGGGUGGAGAAUUGGAGUCAGAAAAUCUAUCACCGUCUUCGCUCUCCAUGCAUUUCGCCAGGUUCUCGGGCUCUGAUGAAGACUCCAUUACCCCAUUGGCCUCACUGAUUCCUGGUUUGUUGUCAUUCAUUUUUGUUGUGUAGCAAA